rnacentral:rRNA from 1 species
CCUUAGAUCGUACCCACAUUUACUUGGAUAACUGUGGUAAUUCUAGAGCUAAUACAUGCAAACCAGAGUUCCGACCAGAGAUGGAAGGAACGCUUUUAUUAGAUCAAAACCAAUCGGUGGCGGGUUCGCGCUCGUCCACCGUUUACUUUGGUGACUCUGAAUAACUUUGAGCUGAUCGCACGGUCUUGCACCGGCGACGCAUCUUUCAAAUGUCUGCCUUAUCAACUGUCGAUGGUAGGUUCUGCGCCUACCAUGGUUGUAACGGGUAACGGGGAAUCAGGGUUCGAUUCCGGAGAGGGAGCCUGAGAAACGGCUACCACAUCCAAGGAAGGCAGCAGGCGCGCAAAUUACCCACUCCCGGCACGGGGAGGUAGUGACGAAAAAUAACGAUACGGGACUCAUCCGAGGCCCCGUAAUCGGAAUGAGUACACUUUAAAUCCUUUAACGAGGAUCCAUUGGAGGGCAAGUCUGGUGCCAGCAGCCGCGGUAAUUCCAGCUCCAAUAGCGUAUAUUAAAGUUGUUGCGGUUAAAAAGCUCGUAGUUGAAUCUGUGUGCCACGCUGUCGGUUCAUCGCUCGCGAUGUUUAACUGACAUGAUUGUGGGACGUCCUACCGGUGGGCUUAGCCUCUCGGGGCGGCCCAGCUAAUAUCCCAUCGCGGUGCUCUUCAUCGAGUGUCGAGGUGGGCCGGUACGUUUACUUUGAACAAAUUAGAGUGCUCAAAGCAGGCUAUGUUCGCCUGAAUACUGUGUGCAUGGAAUAAUGGAAUAGGACCUCGGUUCUAUUUUGUUGGUUUUCGGAACCCCGAGGUAAUGAUUAAUAGGGACAGAUGGGGGCAUUCGUAUUGCGACGUUAGAGGUGAAAUUCUUGGAUCGUCGCAAGACGGACAGAAGCGAAAGCAUUUGCCAAAAAUGUUUUCAUUAAUCAAGAACGAAAGUUAGAGGUUCGAAGGCGAUCAGAUACCGCCCUAGUUCUAACCAUAAACGAUGCCAGCUAGCGAUCCGCCGAAGUUCCUCCGAUGACUCGGCGGGCAGCUUACGGGAAACCAAAGCUUUUGGGUUCCGGGGGAAGUAUGGUUGCAAAGCUGAAACUUAAAGGAAUUGACGGAAGGGCACCACCAGGAGUGGAGCCUGCGGCUUAAUUUGACUCAACAC